CGGGAACCCGCGACUAGCGACCGGCACGCUCGCUGGUGCUACCUCUUGCCUCUUGCGGGAGAGCGCGCGGACCGUAGCGUUUAUAGGACCCCGGCCAUUGGCUGGCGACGCCGGCUGCCGAUCGGCCCUCUCUGUGCGUUGGGACCGCGGAGCGCGUUCGCUGUGUGACUCAGGGCAAGUGUGCGCACCUCUCUGAGCCUCCGCGGCCUUCUCUAGCAAAAUGGUGGAGCCGGUACCCGGCUGUAAGGCAAGCUGGGAUGCGCGGAGUAGCGGGUGGAAAGCUGGACUGGCGUUCUCCCUCGGCCGCUGGGUGACUUCGGUGCACUAGGGAUAGUAACAGUACCACCUCGUGGGGUUAUAGAAAGACCAACCUCCACGUUCCCGUUUGUGAGCCAAGCCUUGCUUUUCCACCGGCCGGGCUCUGCCUAGAAAUGCAUACCCGUCUCAAACCUGGGCUUUAAAAUCACCUCCUCUGGGACGGCUUCUUUUCUCACAGUUCAGCCUGAUUUUCUUCAGGGUUGCAGGGAUCUGCCCCUCUCGAUUUCCGCGUAUUGUUUUCUGGAGGUCUGUGAGGUUGGAAGAAGAGGACCUGAUGGUGCUUCCCCCAGGAGCUUUCUUCCCCAUGGGGUGGGCAGAACUCUGGAACAGUCCAGACGUCAGGCUUCAUGGCCCAGCUCCACUUUGCAAUUGAGAUAGGGUCUUGCUAUGUUGCCCAGGCUGGCCUCAAACUCCUGAGCUCAAGCAAUACUCCUGCCUCAGCCUCCCAAGUAGCUGGGACAACAGGCCAGCACCACUGUACCUGGCUUUGAUGUAACUUUGUAACUCUGCAAAACUCCUUCCCACAUAUCUUUCCUUGGGUCCUCCCCACACCUUAUGCUGCAUGCAAGACUAGAAUUAUUCAUGUAUCCACAGUUGUGGAAACUGAGGCACAAAGAAAUUAAGCCACUUGCUUGAGAUCACAGUGAAGGAAGAAUUUGGAAGCAAACUGGAAAUGUAAAACCUGGGCCUCCUGACUUCUAGAUACCACCGUGCAGCAAUUUGGAUCUGAAAGAAAGCACACAGCUUACGCCCGGACAGAGCAGCCGGUGUCUAGCUGUGCCCACUUGCCCCGCCCAGCCCCCACCUGUAUGCCACCUGGCAGUCAUAUGCACAUUCAUCACAGGGGAGCUGGCUGACUCACACAUUAUACUGGGGCUGACUCAUGCUUUGCAAGAGGGAGAGUGAGAAUCAGUUGAGAGCCACAGGAGCCCCUGCUUUCCACAUCGAGGCUUGAGAUUCAUGCCUCACAAUCCACGGCAGUUUAGUUCUUUAAAAAGGGAAAGCACUGUGAGCUGGCUGGAGCUGGGGAUCUCUGGACUCAGAGAAGAGUGGUUUGGUUCAACUCUGGGCUCUGUUACAAGUUGACUGGGUGACUUCAGGCAAGUCAUUGUCCCUCAAUCUCUUCGGCUUUGUAACAGAGGGGUUGCAACAGAUAAGCGCCAAGACUUUUCAAGCAUCUGAAAGACUGUUCUUGCUCUGGUUUGAGAAACCUCGUCAUAAUAAUGUUGUAUGUGUUGCUAAUUUACUAUGUGCCAGGAACCCUCAAAGGCUGAGUAUCCCACCCAGUUUACAGAUGAAGCAAAGUGAGGCCCAGAGAAGGGAAAUUGCUUGCCCAAGAUCACCCAGCAAGUAAGAAACAGAGCUAGAGAUGAGCUCAGGUCAGCACGGAACCACGCAAACUCCUUCUGCAGGCUUUGUAAAGGAUUGAUGAGAAAAGCAGAUGGUUAAGAGCUCUACAACUUCUGUGAGGUAAAGAAUAUCUGCAGGGCUGGACACGGCGGCUCUUACCUGUAAUCUUAGCACUUUGGGAGGCCAAAGUGUGUGGACUGCUUGAGUCCAGGAGUUUGACACCAGCCUGGGCAACAUGGUGAAACU